rnacentral:rRNA from 1 species
CGUGCAGGCGGUGUCGUAAGUCGUAUGUGAAAGCGCUCAGGCUCAACCGGGCGAGGCCAUGCGAAACUGCGGCGCUCGAGGCAGGUAGAGGCGUGUGGAAUUCCGGGUGUAGUGGUGAAAUGCGUAGAGAUCCGGAGGAACACCAGUGGCGAAGGCGACACGCUGGGCCUGACCUGACGCUAAGACGCGAAAGCAUGGGGAGCGAACG